rnacentral:rRNA from 1 species
UCGGGCCGGGAUAACCGCUGAAAGCAUCUAAGUGGGAAGCCCACCCCAAGACGAGGUCUCCCCAAAGCGUAAGCUCUCUGAAGGUCCCCAGGAGACGACUGGGUAGAUAGGCGGCAGGUGUAAGCGGGGCAACUCGCUCAGCCGAGCCGUACUAAUCGACCGUGAGGCUCGAAACCCCUCUUC